UACACAUUUUGAGCGCGAGAGAAUUCUGUUCGCCUGCAUGAGGGCUGUCCGAUCGAUUGUGCCCGUUGCGCGCCUCCGUAGAAGUUUGCACCGCCGUCGCCGCACCCUCCAUUCCGCCGCUGCCUUCUUUAUCCUCAUCGGCUCCCCCCACCCUCCUUUCUCGUGUAAUCUUUCUCAGUCUGCAUCACUCGGUUUCUCUCUUUCUCGCCAGCACACAAACGCACACAGUCUUUGUGAAAGCCGCUGAUUGUUAUGCCG